GGGAGAGCUGCCCCGUGCCGCCAGAGCAAACGUGGCAAGGCAUACUCGCCAUGCUGGAUUCGUGACAGCUCCUGCAUCGCUUCUGUGAAACCCGCCUUCAACUCAGAGGCUAAUGCCUGCAACUAGAGGAACCACAAACACGAGGCCCUAGCCCUGCCGGAAAAGCUCACAACCUAAGCUGGAGGCAGCCGGUUGACAGCCGGGCGAAGCAGGAGGCAGACCGGGCUGAGCCAGGCUCGCAGAGUGAGCA